GACCCGAUAGCUCAGCGGUAGAGCACUUGACGUAUGAAGUCAGGGGUCGUGGGUUCGAGUCUCGCUCGGGUCG